UUAGAUGCACUCUGUAUCAUGCCCAUCAAAAUUUAAAAUGUACUUGUUCAAAAAAAUGGCAUAUUAUUCACUUCUUCUUCCCUCAUUUAUGAUGUAGCCAUCAGAGCUGCACCAUUAAGUUAUUUCACAUAAGUUUUCUGAAUUUUUCUUUUCUUUCUUUUUUUUUUGAGACAAGGUCUCUGUGUAGCACCUACCUGUUAUCAAUAAAGAACAUGUGUGUUUACAUGACUAGAAUAUUUUAGAUUGGACAAUAGCUCUGAGGAAUGAUUUCACAUUCUUACAUUUUCAUCAAAAUCCAUGAAGUUUGACACUACUUUGACGUUUGAGUGAUAAACUCCAGCCUGCCGGAUAACUUCUUCAAGUACAUCACCAAUACCAGCAGAAAAUAUGAACACAGGGAUACCGUGCUGUUGAAGUUUACCGAAGAAAUUCUCAUAUCCUUCCCUGCAAGUGGAGGGAGGCACAGUGCGUUUAUGAGAAAGAUUUUUUAUCUUUUUCACUUAGAAGGUUUAAAGCAAAAAUAUUUCCGCCUUUUUCUACAAAUCAUAUUCUCAUUCCAAACAAUGACCAAGCCAACAGUUGACUCUUUACCUUGCUAUUAAUUCUAGCAGUAUGUUAGGUGUUUUUUAUUUAGACUUAAAACUGAGCAUGGGUAAAAGCCUACAAUUUUCACCAUACAGUGAAAAGCCACUAGGGUGUUCUGAUCCUCCACCAGAAGAAGAGCAGCAAAGCCGAGCUAUAAGCUCUUUCCCCAGCCACUGCUCCUUGGCUCGACCUUUUAUUUAUGUACAGGUUUAGAGGAAAGCGAAUCCCAGUGUUCAUCCCCACCCCUUACCAUCCCGUCGUCUUCCCUGUGCCUCUGCGUUCUCAUCACAUGUAUGUAUAGCUACAAAUACAUGGAUACUUAAGGCUACAUAUCCUGUAUAUGAGAGAAAAUGUGUGAUGCUUGUCGAAUUCUGGCUUGUUUCUCUUUAUAUGAUUGAUUAUUUUAAAUCCACCCAUUUUCCUAAAAAUGACAUAAACUCAUUCUUAUUCAUAAAACCUUAAAAAUCUACUCUUUCCUUGUCACUCUUUUUAGCUCCAGGUUAAAUUAAGCUCUUAGUGCAUAUAGUGGGGCAUUCAACUGUCAUUACUCUUUGACAAUUGAAUCUUUUCUUCUUCAAUCAUAAUCAUUAUCAUCCCAGGGCAAUGUGAUAACGUGGUUGGGGGUAGUUUAGUGGCAGAGUGAUUGCCCAACAUGUGAAAGGCCCCAGGUUCAAUACCCAGAACAGAGGGAUACAAAAAAAAAACAGCUUUGUCAUAUUUGCCCAACAAGUUGAAAAAAAAAUUAAGGCUGGUAAAAAGUACUGAAAGUAAGCUGGAUUUUCACACAAUAAUAAUCCAUAUUGUAAAUAUCCUGUGUGAGUGUGUGUGGUGUAGUACUUGACUUAGUUGGCCUUCAACUGGCUGUGACUUCCCUGACCUCUGCCUCCUGAAUUCUGUAAUCACAGAUUUUUGACACUAUGCCAAAUCCUUGUAAAUAUUUUACCUAUAUAUUAAAAUAUGUUCCUGUAAAGUUUCAAAGCAUGAGAAUUUCAAAACUAGAUUCAUGUCAAUUUAGAAACAAUUCUUAGUUAAAACCUUUAUAGCUUAUAAAUAUCUCCUUCAAAUUUCAGAUCUUUCAAAACUUCCUCCCCCCCC
rnacentral:lncRNA from 1 species